ACAUACACACACAUACAAAUACACACAUACACACACAGACACACACACAUACACAUACAUACACACAUACACACAUACAUACACAUACAAAUACACACACACACAUACACACACACACACACACACACCAAUAGUAAAUUAGAAACGUAUAGAAGUUUACUCAUCUAGAUAGGGGCAUUCUUCACUUUGCCUCAGGUGCUGCAUAGUGCUGUGAUUAGUCUGGCUUUAAAUUUUAUUUUACAUUUUCUCUUUUGUAUGUGUGUGUUCACAUGUGUGGGUAUGGGUGUAUAUUUGCAGGUGCAUCGGACAACCUCAUGUCAGGUUUGUUAGGUGCUUGCUUUUGUUUACGACGGGGUUUCUCAUUGGCCCAGAGCCCUGCCACACACACUACACUACCUGAUCCCGAAGCUUCCACGCACCCACCUGCCUCUCCCUCCCACCUCCCCAUCACUGGGGUGACAGGCAUGCAAAAACCAAGCCUGGCUUUUGACCUGAGUUCUGGGAGCAAAACUCUGGGAAGCAGGCCCCUGAUUCAGCUCUGAUCCUGGUUUUAGUUAAGUAGGGCAUUCGUCUUGAUUUAUUAUUGUUUUUUAAUUUUGACUUUAAAAAUGUUGCAUCAGGAUGACUUAUCUUGAGUCCUAAGUUUUGUUUUUUAACUUCUGAGGGUCUGUGGUCCCCUUGCCUAGAUCCAGUUCAUGGACCCAGUUCAUGAAUCCAGUGGCAUUAGGACAUUUUUUUCAUACACACAUAUCCUCGUGCUUUGUUUAUACCCCCUACCAUCCACAAAUUUACCGUCCUACCUAAAUAACUUUUAUGAAAAUAUCACACCUAGGCUGACUUUGGCAUUUGUAAGCCCCAUUGAGCAGCAUGCUGAGUUUCUGGCUAGCUGCUCUGAGAUGGCACUGCGUUCUAUAGGUAAUGGGUGAGUCUGGUUGUGUGUUAAUGUAGAUUUUUAAAAGUUGGGCAAGAUGCAGAAAAGCUGCAAAUGAACAAUGUAAACCAAGGUGGCAUGAAAAAUGUCAGGGUGGGUGCGAGAACCUGGAACCAAUAUUCAAACAGCGUGCAAGUUUCGAUUUUUCUUUGUUACCGUGUCAGUGUUUCGAAAAGUCUAAAUUAUGCCUGUAAAAAUUUAACAUAUGUAUACAUAUGUAUGAAAGUUUACAACUUAGCAGGGGUGGGACAGACAAGCACAAUAGUGGGUUUCACCUUGAGUAAAAGGCAGAACGAAGUGCUACAAUUUGGCUUU
rnacentral:lncRNA from 1 species